AGUGAACGCUGGCGGUAGGCCUAACACAUGCAAGUCGAACGGCAGCACGGGAGAGCUUGCUCUCUGGGUGGCGAGUGGCGGACGGGGGAGGAAUACAUCGGAAUCUACUCUGUCGUGGGGGAUAACGUAGGGAAACUUACGCUAAUACCGCAUACGACCAACGGGUGAAAGCAGGGGACCUUCGGGCCUUGCGCGAUUGAAUGAGCCGAUGUCGGAUUAGCUAGUUGGCGGGGUAAAGGCCCACCAAGGCGACGAUCCGUAGCUGGUCUGAGAGGAUGAUCAGCCACACUGGAACUGAGACACGGUCCAGACUCCUACGGGAGGCAGCAGUGGGGAAUAUUGGACAAUGGGCGCAAGCCUGAUCCAGCCAUACCGCGUGGGUGAAGAAGGCCUUCGGGUUGUAAAGCCCUUUUGUUGGGAAAGAAAUCCAGCUGGCUAAUACCCGGUUGGGAUGACGGUACCCAAAGAAUAAGCACCGGCUAACUUCGUGCCAGCCGCCGCCGUAA
rnacentral:rRNA from 1 species